GAGAGAGUUUAGUUAUAACCUGAAAGAUUGCUAGUCCUCCAGGCCCGCGGUUAAAGUCCGCGGCUCACUCG
rnacentral:tRNA from 1 species